rnacentral:rRNA from 1 species
AAUAGAUACCCUGGUAGUCCACGCCGUAAACGAUGAGUGCUAAGUGUUAGGGGGUUUCCGCCCCUUAGUGCUGCAGCUAACGCAUUAAGCACUCCGCCCGUGGGGAGUACGGUCGCAAGACUGAAACUCAAAGGAAUUGGACGGGGGCCCGCACAAGCGGUGGAGCAUGUGGUUUAAUUCGAAGCAACGCGAAGAACCUUACCAGGUCUUGACAUCCCGCUGGCCGGCCUAGAGAUAGGUCUUUUCCCUUCGGGGACAGCGGUGACAGGUGGUGCAUGGUUGUCGUCAGCUCGUGUCGUGAGAUGUUGGGUUAAGUCCCGCAACGAGCGCAACCCUUGAUCUUAGUUGCCAGCAUUCAGUUGGGCACUCUAAGGUGACUGCCGGUGAUAAACCGGAGGAAGGUGGGGAUGACGUCAAAUCAUCAUGCCCCUUAUGACCUGGGCUACACACGUGCUACAAUGGACGGUACAGAGGGUCGCAACCCCGCGAGGGUGAGCUAAUCCCAUAAAACCCGUUCUCAGUUCGGAUUGUAGG